GGGCUGGUUUAUUUGGGUAAGGCAUAUGAUCGGGCUUUAGUGCUAGGAAUUCGCUUAGGAUGUCAUCUUGGUAUUCCUUACUCCAAUUUUUAUCUUCAAAAGUAGGAGGCCUUGGGAUUUUCAGUAUUUCAGAGUAUGAUGUUUGUUCAUUCUCCAUUUCUCUUAUACAUUCACCGAUGACAUAUAGUAGACAACAGGUAUCAUCUAUAGCUGGUGCCUUUAGGA
rnacentral:lncRNA from 1 species